AUUGAACGCUGGCGGCAGGCCUAACACAUGCAAGUCGAGCGGAUGAGUGGAGCUUGCUCCAUGAUUCAGCGGCGGACGGGUGAGUAAUGCCUAGGAAUCUGCCUGGUAGUGGGGGACAACGUUUCGAAAGGAACGCUAAUACCGCAUACGUCCUACGGGAGAAAGUGGGGGAUCUUCGGACCUCACGCUAUCAGAUGAGCCUAGGUCGGAUUAGCUAGUUGGUGAGGUAAAGGCUCACCAAGGCGACGAUCCGUAACUGGUCUGAGAGGAUGAUCAGUCACACUGGAGCUGAGACACGGUCCAGACUCCUACGGGAGGCAGCAGUGGGGAAUAUUGGACAAUGGGCGAAAGCCUGAUCCAGCCAUGCCGCGUGUGUGAAGAAGGUCUUCGGAUUGUAAAGCACUUUAAGUUGGGAGGAAGGGCAGUAAGUUAAUACCUUGCUGUUUUGACGUUACCAACAGAAUAAGCACCGGCUAACUUCGUG
rnacentral:rRNA from 1 species